rnacentral:RNase_P_RNA from 1 species
UAAGUAUGGCAGAUGAUCGCGUGUUUUCACACGAGGAAAGUCGGAGCUCCACAGAGCAGGGUGCUAGGUAACGCCUAGUGAGAGCGAUCUUAAGGAUAGUGCAACAGAAAUAAACCGCCAUUUUUGGCAAGGAUGGAAAGGCGAGGUAAGAGCUCACCAGCAUAUAGGUGACUAUAUGGCUAUGUAAACCCCACCUGGUGCAAGGCCAAGAUAGGAUUAAGAGAUGUUGCUCGCAUCUCCCGGAUGGUAGGCCGCUUGAGCUUGCCGGUGACGGUAAGUCUAGAUAGAUGAUCAUCUAAUACAGAACUCCGCUUAUAGCCAUGCUUAAUUA